CGAGUGCCCAGCUCCAGGUGGGGAGCCAAACUCAGCCUGCGGCAAACUGCUAAGGAGCCAGGGUCACUUUGCUUCAAUGUGCCUUUUAUAGUGACUUAACAGAACUGAGAACAUGAGGCUUUUCAUCAGAAGGCUUUGGAAACUUGUCAUCUCUCUGGGUACCACGACCACCCCUCCGAUCUCCACUCCAGAAGUUCUCUCGGAACCUCAGCUCUCUAAAGCUCUUAAGGUUUUGACAAGUCGACCGCCCUUGCCUGAACAACUUCUGUCUCUGCAAAUACAAGGUCUAUUGGAAAUCUGGACUUGUCACUUUCAUCCCCCUGGGCAAUCAAAUGUACAAUCACAAGGAAUGCUUGCCAUUGCCAUUACUGUAACUCUGGGGACACAGAUGCCAUAUAACUCCGCUGAAUUCAAACAACAACAACAACAACAAUAAUAAUAAUAGUAAUAAUAAUAAAGGAAGAAGAAAAAGACAGACUCCUAUCUUAAGAAGCCACCAGGAUUUCCGGCGUGGCCUUGAGGAGCCCAGGACUGCUGAGCCACUAACAUCCCAGACAACUGGGUCUGAAAAGAAACAUCAUGUAUGUCAGCAUUAUCAGCAAAAGCAUUUUGACCGGCUCUGUUUUCAUAUUCCUCAACCCAGAUUCCUUUGAAAAUGAAAGUAAAAAUAAAGCGAUACUCCCCAUCAUUUCCUCCAGACCUUGGAGUCUGGAUUAGAGAAAAUCUGCUGACUUUGCUGACCUUCACAAGGGUGCCGUGGGGGCGAGGAGAGCGGAUGGUUGCAUCUGGGGCUGAGUGUGGAUCCUAAUAGCCCAGCCUUGCCUGCACUUUCGAUAUUUUCUUUCGAACUUGCCUUUUUGCGGCUGCAGCUGGGCUUGUCAGU